rnacentral:lncRNA from 1 species
AGCACAGCCACAAAUGCAACAGACUGUUCCUAGUGUUCCCUAUGGUGAUAAUUUCCAACAGCCAUAUAAUUCUUCAUUUAGGAGGGACUAUGGCUCUCCUGCUCCAUAUCAGACUGCUGCCCAACCUGCUCCAUAUCAGCCUGCCGCCCAACCUGCUCCAUAUCAGCCUGCAGCCCAACCUGCUCCAUAUCAGCCUGCAGCCCAGCCAUCUCCAUAUCAGCCUGCACCCCAGCCAUCUCCAUAUCAGCCUGCCCCUCAACCUAAUAUGUUCGUUCCGUCUCAGCCACCACAAAUUCCCCAGGUAUGUGCAAGUCUCAUAAUAAAUUUUUGGUGAUGAAUUUAAUUCAGUUAAAAAAGGCUUUCCUUUACUGCUGUUGAAAUUCCUGUGAGAUUUGGUACUUGAAUAACUACUAACUAAACUUAUAAGCUAUAUAUGUCUUUGUAAUUUUAUUUUGGCUUCUGGAUUGCAUAUGUUUAGUAUAAAUAAUGUGUAUAUAUUUGCUCUAUUAUGAAGUUUGCUCUUCAUAGACUAGUUAUCUUGGGAUGUUCUGUUCCAUUUUAAAAUUAAGAGGAUAACACGAACAACUGUAUUCUGGAGCUUUCUAAUCAUAGAAAAG